GGAAGAUGCUGGGGCGGUGGCCCCGCGGCGGAGCUCGGCGGGGGUUCGGCGGAGCUCGGCGAGAUCCGGCAGGAGCUCGCUCGCAUGUUGCUGGUGCGAUACGGAACUUCACGUUGUUGAGGUCUUUUAAACGUAGCCGCAGGAGAAAAUAGGAUGUCAAAUACGUUCCUUGGAACCGAUCCCCCGCGGGAGGAUGAGCGAUUCCAGAGGAGGUCAUGGAGAUGCUCCAGGAGCCGCACAUGGAGCUCAGGCGCUAACAGAGACUGCUAUGCAUCUCCUCAAUUGAGCAGUCAAGACGUGCUGAAUAAUAAAUGAGCACAGAAAGGCCUGGGCGGCGGCUGGGACCGAGUCCCCGGGUAUCGCGGCGAGCACAGCGCUCGCAGAGCGCUCCAGCCCCGGGCUCUGCCAGGGAAGCUCCUCUCCAUAGAGCCCUGCUCUCCCACCACAGCCGGUGCCUUCUCGCCUGUCUUACCCUGCAGCACCGGUGCAGAGGACCAAGCCCCAAGAUCCAAGCAUCCCACUGCACCCCUCCUUCACCGCUCUGCUCACGGCUGCCAGUUCCUGUCGUCUUUGCAUCUCCAAUACAUAGACCACCGCCCACCCUAAAUGAGUUAGAGGAGGACUAUGUGUAUACACGCGAGAAUAAAGUGAAUGUUAAUUAAAAAAUAUGACAUCAAGCAAGACCAUCAAGUGUCUGUUACAUUAAAUGAGGUGGAUGAGUCCCCA